GUGACACAGGGCACCAACCAGGACUGGCCAUAUUGCUAAAGCAGCCUUCUGGAGGCCCCUGUUGUGCCAGGAAGCCAAGCCUUUGGAUUCAGACCGACCUGGGUCCAGGAGUUCAAAUGAUGCAACAGGAUAUUAUCUCUCUCCUUCCGGAUUCUGCUUUCUUCUGUAUUGGCUCCGUCCUCAACAAUCUCUCUCCAUGUAGUGGCAAAAUGUUACCCUGCAAGUCCUUUACAUCUAUGACCUCAGAAGGGAAAUGACUCCUUCACAAUAAUUCCAGCAAAAUUCCCAUGGAGGAGAAUUCCUCACCCACUGUCCUACUGUGUCAUAAGAAGGAGCAUUGGAAGGAGACUUCUAAGGAAUGGGCAGCUUAUUGCACUUUCCAUGACAUCAGUGUACUACAGAAAUUGUCUUCAGGUUUGAGCAUUCAUGAGGCGCCAUUUGCCUGGACUGAAGUGCCUCUGACAAUACAAACCCCUUAAAACACU